GAAACUGAAAAAUUCAAAUUAUCUAUUGUAUACAUUUAUUAUGGAAUAUUAGUUUCAGCGACAUAAAAUAACGAAUAUUUUUUUGACGUAAUUAAAGAAAGACUCGUAAUUUGAAUAUCUCUAUAAAUUUCGCAGCAAUGUUUUUAACCGUUUGAUUGUAAAUCGUGUUAUUUUUAAGCAAUGUUUACCUGUGGAUAAGUGUCAAUAUCGGAAGACCAGCGCGAUGUCUGAUCUGAUGGUUUAUCUACAAGGAUAUUUCUAAAAAAAGAAAAAGAAAAUAUUAUUUUAAUACUUGGCGAAAAAUCCGGCGUUAGAGAAUCAUUACCAUGUAAUAACUGAUUUUUGUUCUAUAAUUACGAAAUGUAUUCAAAGGAAAAUCGUUUAAAUACUAGUAAAGUGCUUACUCUGGCACAUAGGAUGAAGAAAAACUGGAGCAUUUAUAAAUUUUGAACUCCAAAACUUUUUGAAAAUUGCUACUCUCCUUGGACGCCAUGUUACACAAAUGACAUAAGCUUUAACACUAAA